UGGAGCGUGUCCAGAGAAGGGCUACGAAGCUGCUGAAGGGCCUGGGACACAAGUCCUGUGAGGAGCGGCUGAGGGAACUGGGGUUGUUUAAUCUGGGGAAGAGGAGGCUCAGGGGAGACCUCAUUGCUCUCUACAACUGCCUGAAAGGAAGGUGUGGGGGGCUGGGGGUCGGCCUCUUCUCGCAGAUAACUAGUGAUAGGACUAGAGGGAAUGGCCUCAAGUUGUGCCAGGGGAGGUUUAAGUUGGAAAUGAGGAGACAUUUCUUCUCAAAAAGAGCAGUCAGGCAUUGGAACAGGUUGCCCAGGGAAGUGGUGGUGUCACCGUCCCUGGGGUUGUUUAAGGAAAGGUUGGACGUGGUGCUUAGGGACAUGGCUUAGCGGGUGAUAUUGGUGGCAGGGGUAUGGUUGGACCAGAUGAUCUUGGAGGCCUUUUCCAACCUUAUUGAUUUGACGGUUCUGUGAUUCUAUGAUUGCAGCCCGCCAUCACAAGCCUGCUCACUGGGCGCUUCGCUGCAAAGCUGAGUUGGGGACACGUCCAACGGCGGUGCAACACUCCAGGAAGGUAACGCAGAAGGGCCUGACCCUUGAGCCCUGCUGGGAGCACGCUCCCAUGUGGGGCUGAUGAUGGAAAAUAUCAACUUUACCUGCAUGGGGAUGAUCUGCAGAAAGAGUCCAGCAGAGGGAGAGGGACCAGAGUGCAUCCUUCCUCAGCUGCCGCAUCUGCUGGCCUGGGCAGACCACGUGCCCAAAGGGCUUGUCCUUGCCACGGUUUUCACUGCGACAUUUGGGAGUGUUUUUGAAGCAUUAUUGGUUGCCUGCUUCCCCACCUCUCCACUCCCCGUCAUUUAUUCAGCCUCAAGAAACAGUGCUUCUGGAGGGACUGGAGAGGAGACACUUCUUCAAGGAAAGUCCUCAUGCCCAGAACCUUCUGAGCAACAUCACGGAAACACAAUUUUGCUUGAUAACCUGUUAAAUUACAACAACUGUGCAAAGGAUCACAGCACCAACAGAACAUACGCCUGCACCAUGAAGGGUUGCAGGCAGCGCGCACCUGUGACCGUGUGUCCUCCAAAGUCAACGUACACGUGUCCCGGGUGA
rnacentral:lncRNA from 1 species